UCCACUGUCUUCCCUUUCAGGUUCUGGAAAAUGACCCGUGGACUCAGGCCAUUGGGCAGCAGCCGUAUCUCGAACUUACACAGCUUCCCGAACAGUAGAACUAAACCAAACUCCACAGAGGGCUGCAGCCCCACCAUGACACUGAUCCACCCACAGAGCUCUGCCCAGUUACCUUGGAUCCAUCAGCCACAACAAGCCUUUCAGCACACACCAACGUUCCACCUGGAAUCCAACUUGUAAUUGCCAUCACCAAUGGUUGCUGCAUCUUGACAGUGUUGGGGGAGGGGCUGCAUCAGACUAGAGGAUCCUAAUUUAAAAGUGAUUCACUCCA